UCAAAGGAAUUGACGGGGGCCCGCACAAGCGGUGGAGUAUGUGGUUUAAUUCGAUGCAACGCGAAGAACCUUACCAGGGUUUGACAUCCUGCGAAUCCCUUGGAAACGAGGGAGUGCCUUCGGGAGCGCAGAGACAGGUGGUGCAUGGCUGUCGUCAGCUCGUGUCGUGAGAUGUUGGGUUAAGUCCCGCAACGAGCGCAACCCACGUCUUUAGUUGCCAGCAUUCAGUUGGGCACUCUAGAGAGACCGCCGGUGAUAAACCGGAGGAAGGUGUGGAUGACGUCAAGUCAUCAUGCCCCUUACAUCCUGGGCUACACACGUACUACAAUGCUACGGACAAAGGGUUGCAAGCUCGCGAGAGUUAGCUAAUCCCAUAAACCGUGGCUCAGUUCAGAUCGUAGGCUGCAACUCGCCUACGUGAAGGAGGAAUCGCUAGUAAUCGCAGGUCAGCAUACUGCGGUGAAUACGUUCCCGGGCCUUGUACACACCGCCCGUCACACCAUGGAAGUUGGCCAUGCCCGAAGUCGUUACUCCAACCCUUGUGGAGGAGGACGCCGAAGGUGGGGCUGAUGACUGGGGUGAAGUCGUAACAAGGUAGCCGUACCGGAAGGUGCGGCUGGAUCACCUCCUAACAGGGAGACACAACUGAUCGUGAUGUCUGAGCGCCAACCAAGCGUAAGUUUGGGAAGCACCUUUGUCUCAGGCCACGGUCCUGUCAUCUCGAAGGUCGAUCGGUACCUCAAGGUGAGCCAUCAAAGCCAAGGUAGAAGCCAGAGAGCUCGAGAGAGCAGGAUGGAGGAAGCCAAGGAUGUUGUGAUGGACUCGUUUUCAGUUCCUAAACUUUGUCUAGGUCACCCCACCAAGGGUUUUGCCAGACAUCCAGUGUUUCGGAUCCCGCCAGGGAGAGGAAGCCAUGGGUGAUUGGAGGAACCACUGUCAGAGUGAUUGUUCCUGGGCCAUUAGCUCAGGUGGUUAGAGCGCACCCCUGAUAAGGGUGAGGUCCCUGGUUCAAGUCCAGGAUGGCCCAUUCGUGUUUGGGGGUUUAGCUCAGUUGGUAGAGCGCCUGCUUUGCAAGCAGGAUGUCAGCGGUUCGAGUCCGCUAACCUCCAUCCAGCUAGGUUAAGACCACAACAUGAAGCUGCAUCAGGAGGAAUUCUGAUGGGUGAAGUGACCGGACAUGUUCAGCUGAGGACUCCAGCCUCCUUUCAUUCCCAAAGAAUGGAUUCAUCGUAUCGGAUGGUUACAUUUUGUGAUGGUUGAAAGGAAGCUGGACUCGCUGAUCACCAUUUUGCUUGCUCAUGUGAUCAUGUUCAAGUGAAAUGAUGCAUCGGUGUAGCCAGCAAAGAACCUUGACAACUGCAUAGGUGAGUCUGGAAAAGAAAGCAUCUCAUGGAUGCCCAGACGGACGUGGAGGGAUCCUGGUAACCCCGGGUGAAGGCUGCGGCUGACUGGGAGAUUCUUGAGUUUAGAGCCGAGAGCUUCCAGCGUCUUUUCGCUCCGCCGAGGAGGGAAGAGUCAGAUUCUGCAUUUCAAACCGCUUGCGUUUGAAUGGGGCGAGAGACCGCGACGGGCAACCGCAGCGGUGGAUGGUUUCAUGAAAAGCGAAAGCAGGUGAAAGCAGGAGAAUGGGUCUCAACAACCCUGAACGUGGAAGUGUUAAUGUC
rnacentral:rRNA from 1 species